AGUGAACGCUGGCGGUAGGCCUAACACAUGCAAGUCGAACGGCAGCACAGUAAGAGCUUGCUCUUACGGGUGGCGAGUGGCGGACGUGUGAGGAAUACAUCGGAAUCUACUUUUUCGUGGGGGAUAACGUAGGGAAACUUACGCUAAUACCGCAUACGACCUACGGGUGAAAGCAGUGGAUCUUCUUACCUUGCGCGAUUGAAUGAGCCGAUUUCGGAUUAGCUAGUUGGCGGGGUAAAGGCCCACCAAGGCGACGAUCCGUAGCUUGUCUGAGAGGAUGAGCAGCCACACUGGAACUGAGACACGGACCAGACAACUACGGGAGGCAGCAGUGGGGAAUAUUGGACAAUGGGCGAAAGAAUGAUACAGCAAGACCGAGUGGGUGAAGAAGGACUUCGGGUUGUAAAGCCCUUUUGUUGGGAAAGAAAAGAAGCAGGUGAAUAACCCGCUGUUCUGACGGUACCAAAAGAAUAAGCACCGGCUAACUUCGUG
rnacentral:rRNA from 1 species